AACGAACGCUGGCGGCAUGCCUAACACAUGCAAGUCGAACGAGACCUUCGGGUCUAGUGGCGCACGGGUGCGUAACGCGUGGGAACCUGCCCUUAGGUUCGGAAUAACUCCCCGAAAGGGGUGCUAAUACCGGAUAAUGUCUUCGGACCAAAGAUUUAUCGCCUUUGGAUGGGCCCGCGUUGGAUUAGCUCGUUGGUAGGGUAAAAGCCUACCAAGGCGACGAUCCAUAGCUGGUCUGAGAGGAUGAUCAGCCACACUGGGACUGAGACACGGCCCAGACUCCUACGGGAGGCAGCAGUGGGGAAUAUUGGACAAUGGGCGAAAGCCUGAUCCAGCAAGGCCGCGUGAGUGAUGAAGGCCUUAGGGUUGUAAAGCUCUUUUACCCGGGAUGAUAAUGACAGUACCGGGAGAAUAAGCUCCGGCUAACUCCGUG
rnacentral:rRNA from 1 species